ncrna:Rhizobium etli CFN 42 chrB RNA
GUUCUGGGGUUGCGAUCACCCCACGAGGCGACAUGCUGAAGAAUCGCGUCCGGUAAAGCCGAUCAACGGAGGGACGCGUCAUG